CUGGGUGUCUGCCUAUGUGUGUGCAGAGAACCUUCUAGGCAGGGCAGAGCUAGACAAGAGAAGGGGUCUGGGCUGACUCUCCCAGUUCCACUAAGUUCUGGUAAAGAAUUCUGAGGGGUCAGAGAAUUCUAAGUUAGAAUCUGGCCUCUAAGGUCCUUAUGAAGGUGUACUCCUUAAGGACGCAAGCAGCAAUGCCACUUCCAUCUUGAGGAAGUGUAAUGAGGGAACCAGCAAUGCUGGUUUCAGUGUCUCAGUUUGGCUGGAAAGGAUUUAAUCCUGACGCUGCAACAUUAACUUUCUGAGCAUAUGCUCUGUCCCCGGGGAAGACGACAGUCAAGGGAAUCUUGAACUUCUUGGAAAAUAAGAAAAUUAAGGGCUUCUUUUA
rnacentral:lncRNA from 10 species